rnacentral:rRNA from 1 species
UACGUAGGGUGCAAGCGUUGUCCGGAAUUAUUGGGCGUAAAGCGCGUGUAGGCGGUUCUGUAAGUCUGCUGUGAAAGUCCAGGGCUCAACCCUGGGAUGCCGGUGGAUACUGCAGGGCUAGAGUACGGAAGAGGCGAGUGGAAUUCCCGGUGUAGCGGUGAAAUGCGCAGAUAUCGGGAGGAACACCUAUUGCGAAGGCAGCUCGCUGGGACGUUACUGACGCUGAGACGCGAAAGCGUGGGGAGCAAACAGG